rnacentral:rRNA from 1 species
UACGAAGGGGGGCUAGCGUUGCUCGGAAUUACUGGGCGUAAAGCGCACGUAGGCGGCUUCUUAAGUCGGUGGUGAAAUCCUGGAGCUCAACUCCAGAACUGCCUUCGAUACUGGGAGCUCGAGUCCGGGAGAGGUGAGUGGAACUGCGAGUGUAGAGGUGAAAUUCGUAGAUAUUCGCAAGAACACCAGUGGCGAAGGCGGCUCACUGGCCCGGUACUGACGCUGAGGGUGCGAAAAGCGUGGGGGAGCCAAAACAGGGAUUUAAGAAAACCCCGA